GCCCCACCUGCCAUGGGGACCCCGGCCUGAGGAACAGUGGCGGGAGCUCCGAGACCAGGGCGGCGCGAAAGCAUCUGGUGUUUUCUAGCUUCCCUGAACAUGGUGAGCAAAAGCUGCCUCCCCACAGCACCUCUGGGACCCUCUGACAAGCCAGGUGCAUGCCUGGCCCAAGACAAGAUGCCUGGGCUUCCCUGCAGGUACCUGACCUGGGAGUGACAUGGCUACUGGGCAGUACAAGACACGGGCUCUCCUCCUUCCGGGCUCUGGUGAGUGAGGCCUGAUGCAGCAGAAAGAGCACUGAACAGAGGAGUUAAGAGAAUUAGGCUCUUAUGCAAACCACUAACAAAUGAUAAGGCCUGGGGCAAGUCAAAGACUCUCUGGACAUUAAUUCUAUCAUUUUAUAAAUGAGACUGUUGGGACUUCCCUGGCGGCACAGUGGUUAAGAAUCU